AAGGUCGUAGCUCACCGGUAGAGCAGUGGUCUCCGAAGCCAUUGGUAGUAGGUUCAAUUCCUACCGACCUUG
rnacentral:tRNA from 1 species